UAUUAUUGAUGAUGUAAAAUUUUGUACUUGAGUAGUAUUAGUUAUGAUCUUUAAACUUAAAGAAUUUGGCGGUAUUUUAGUCUAUUUAGAGGAAUCUGUCCCUUAAUCGAUAUUCCGCGUUGGAACUUACUUAAUUUUAAUGUUUAUAUAUCGCCGUUUUGUUUGAAGAUCUUUUUAGGGUUUAUAUUGAAUUUUCUGGUUAUUUAAUUUUAUAUUAUUUCAGGUCAAGGUUUAAUUUAUAAUUAAGUGGAGAUGGAUUACAAUAGUUUUGGUUAUUAUGGAUUAUUAAUUGUAAUGUUAAUAUGAAGGUGGAUUUAAUAGUAAUUUAUAUUUAGUAUGUUAAGGUGAUUUUAGCUCUAAGAUAUGUACACAUCGCCCGUCACUCUCGUUAUUUAAGAUGAG
rnacentral:rRNA from 1 species